UACGUAGGGGGCAAGCGUUGUCCGGAAUCAUUGGGCGUAAAGAGCGCGUAGGCGGUCCGGUAAGUCCGCUCUGAAAGUCCGGGGGCUCAACCCCGGGAGGCGGGCGGAUACUGUCGGGCUAGAGUCCGGAAGAGGCGAGUGGAAUUCCUGGUGUAGCGGUGAAAUGCGCAGAUAUCGGGAGGAACACCCGUAGCGAAGGCGGCACUCUGGGCCGGAACUGACGCUGAGGAGCGAAAGCGUGGGGAGCAAACAGG
rnacentral:rRNA from 1 species